rnacentral:miRNA from 1 species
AAACCGUUACCAUUACUGAGCU